AACGCUGGCGGCGUGCCUAACACAUGCAAGUCAACUUGACUGAAGGAGCAAUCUGACAGUAGAGUGGCGCAAGGGUGCGUAACGCGUAAGUAACUUGCCCCAAGGUAAGGAAUAACGUCGAGAAAUCGGCGCUAAUACCUCAUAAUGCAGCGGAUCCGCAUGGAUAUGUUGUUAAAGGUUUACCGCCUUGGGAUAGGCUUGCGUCUGAUUAGCUAGUUGGUGUGGUAACGGCACACCAAGGCUACGAUCAGUAACUGGUCUGAGAGGAUGAUCAGUCACACUGGAACUGAGACACGGUCCAGACUCCUACGGGAGGCAGCAGUGAGGAAUAUUGGGCAAUGCUCGAAAGAGUGACCCAGCAACGCCGCGUGGAGGAUGAAGGUGUUCUAUAUCGUAAACUCCUGUGAGAGCAGACGAAAGACAGAUUAUUAAUCUGGAUGACUGUAUGCUCAGAGGAAGCCCCGGCUAACUACGUG
rnacentral:rRNA from 1 species